rnacentral:rRNA from 1 species
AUGACGAAAGACCAGUCACGGUCGAGAUGGGGAGGGAAUCGACCAUCCACUCUGGAGCAUGUUGUACUUGGCCACACGGUGAGGCUCGCGACACGCCCAACCCAUCGGAGCUAUGCGUCCUCGCUGGCGCUCCUCGGAGCUCGCUCCGGUUAUGCGUCUUGUCCCGCGGAAGAGGAGGUCAGCGCUGCAGAGCCCUCGAGAGCUCCCGUCGAGCCCGCGACCGAGGAUCUGGUGGAGACGAAGUCUGCGCCUCCGCCGGCGGAGGUGGAGAGGCAAGAGAAGGGCGGCCGUCUCAAGCGGUGGGGAGUGGGGAGGCAGGGGAGGGAUGGUCCCUGCCGAAGCAGCGCGCAGCAAGGGAGGGGGAGGGUCCCUGCGCCGGCGGCGGGAUGCAAUGGGGAAGGCGGAGGCGCUGCUUGUCCGGGAGCAAGAUGA